AAUGGAGGAAACUCUGAUGCAGCGAUGCCGCGUGAGUGAAGAAGGCCUUUGGGUUGUAAAGCUCUUUCGUCGGGGAAGAAAAUGACUGUACCCGAGUAAGAAGGUCCGGCUAACUUCGUGCCAGCAGCCGCGGUAAUACGAAGGGACCUAGCGUAGUUCGGAAUUACUGGGCUUAAAGAGUUCGUAGGUGGUUGAAAAAGUUGGUGGUGAAAUCCCAGAGCUUAACUCUGGAACUGCCAUCAAAACUUUUCAGCUAGAGUAUGAUAGAGGAAAGCAGAAUUUCUAGUGUAGAGGUGAAAUUCGUAGAUAUUAGAAAGAAUACCAAUUGCGAAGGCAGCUUUCUGGAUCAUUACUGACACUGAGGAACGAAAGCAUGGGUAGCGAAGAGGAUU
rnacentral:rRNA from 1 species